rnacentral:lncRNA from 1 species
AUUAAUGAUAGAGUUUCAGUCCAGUGGGACUCUUCAGCAAAGUCCCCGUCUAGUGGGAUUCUUCAACAGAGUUCCUAUCCUAUAGGACUCUUCACCAGAGUCCCAAUCUAGUGAGACUCUUUAGAUUAGUCAUCUGGUCAGAGAGAAACUUCUAAUGUAUGUGACCCCAUAUAUUCGAACUUAGGUCGGUAGCAGAGGAAUAGAUUUUUAUACCAAUCGAAGUAACUAUCUAGCAAUGGUACCCGAUGUCUAAAUAGACCAAAUAUAUGCAAAGCAACAUUCAAGAACCUACUUGGAUAUAGUUACCAUAUAAUUCAUCCCUUUAACCCUU